GAUGAACGCUGGCGGCGUGCUUAACACAUGCAAGUCGAACGGGAAACAUUUCAUUGAGGCUUCGGCGGAUUUGAUCUGUUUCUAGUGGCGGACGGGUGAGUAACGCGUGGGUAACCUGCCUUAUACUGGGGGAUAACAGCCGGAAAUGGCUGCUAAUACCGCAUAAGCGCACAGAACCGCAUGGUUCGGUGUGAAAAACUCCGGUGGUAUAAGAUGGACCCGCGUUGGAUUAGCUAGUUGGCAGGGCAGCGGCCUACCAAGGCGACGAUCCAUAGCCGGCCUGAGAGGGUGAACGGCCACAUUGGGACUGAGACACGGCCCAAACUCCUACGGGAGGCAGCAGUGGGGAAUAUUGCACAAUGGGCGAAAGCCUGAUGCAGCGACGCCGCGUGAGCGAAGAAGUAUUUCGGUAUGUAAAGCUCUAUCAGCAGGGAAGAUAAUGACG
rnacentral:rRNA from 1 species